rnacentral:sRNA from 1 species
GCCAGGCGCGGUGGCACACACCUGUAAUCCCAGCAUCUCGGGAGGCUGAGGCAGGAGGAUCACGAGUUCAAAGCCAGCCUUAGCAACAGCGAGGCCCUAAGCAACUCAGUGAGACCCUGUCUCUA